rnacentral:rRNA from 1 species
GGCAAGCGUUGUCCGGAUUUAUUGGGCGUAAAGAGCUCGUAGGCGGUGUGUCGCGUCGGCCGUGAAAACCUGCAGCUUAACUGUGGGCUUGCGGUCGAUACGGGCAUCACUGGAGUUCGGCAGGGGAGACUGGAAUUCCUGGUGUAGCGGUGAAAUGCGCAGAUAUCAGGAGGAACACCGGUGGCGAAGGCGGGUCUCUGGGCCGAUACUGACGCUGAGGAGCGAAAGCGUGGGGAGCGAACAGG